rnacentral:rRNA from 1 species
UACGUAGGUCCCGAGCGUUGUCCGGAUUUACCGGGCGUAAAGCGAGCGCAGGUGGUUUAUUAAGUCUGGUGUAAAAGGCAGUGGCUCAACCAUUGUAUGCAUUGGAAACUGGUAGACUUGAGUGCAGGAGAGGAGAGUGGAAUUCCAUGUGUAGCGGUGAAAUGCGUAGAUAUAUGGAGGAACACCGGUGGCGAAAGCGGCUCUCUGGCCUGUAACUGACACUGAGGCUCGAAAGCGUGGGUAGCAAACAGG